GACGAACCGAGCGAACGUUGUUCGGAAUCACUGGGCUUAAAGGGCGCGUAGGCGGGCGAUCAAGUCAGGGGUGAAAGCCCCAGCUCAACUGGGGAAGUGCCUCUGAUACUGAUCGUCUCGAGGGGGAUAGGGGCGUGCGGAACUUCCGGUGGAGCGGUGAAAUGCGUAGAUAUCGGAAGGAACACCGGUGGCGAAAGCGGCGCGCUGGAUCCCUUCUGACGCUGAGGCGCGAAAGCCAGGGGAGCAAACAGG
rnacentral:rRNA from 1 species